rnacentral:rRNA from 1 species
GCUUCAAAACAUGCAAGUCGAACGGUAGUUAAUUUUGAAGCUUGCUUUAGAAUUAACUUAGUGGCGGACUGGUGAGUAACGCGUGAGUAAUCUGCCUAUCACAGGGGGAUAACAGAGGGAAACUUCUGCUAAUACCGCAUAAGACCACAGGAUGGCAUCAUCGAAGGGGUACAAAGGUUAGAUCUGGUGAUAGAUGAGCUUGCGUAUCAUUAGCUAGUUGGUGAGGGUAAAGGCCCACCAAGGCGACGAUGAUUAGCCGAUCUGAGAGGAUGACCGGCCACACUGGGACUGAGAUACGGCCCAGACUCCGUACGGGAGGCAGCAGUUAGGAAUAUUGGGCAAUGGAGGAAACUCUGACCCAGCAACGCCGCGUAGAAGGAAGUAAGGUUUUCGGACUAGUAAACUUCUGAUACGUAAGGAAAAGAAAGUGAUGGUACCUUAGGAGAAAGCCACGGCUAACUACGUGCCAGCAGCCGCGGUAA